GACGAACGCUGGCGGCGUGCUUAACACAUGCAAGUCGAACGGCAAGGCCCUGCUUUUGUGGGGUGCUCGAGUGGCGAACGGGUGAGUAACACGUGAGUAACCUGCCCUUGACUUUGGGAUAACUUCAGGAAACUGGGGCUAAUACCGGAUAGCAGCUCCUGCUGCAUGGUGGGGGUUGGAAAUUUUCGGCGGUUGGGGAUGGACUCGCGGCUUAUCAGCUUGUUGGUGGGGGAGUGGCUUACCAAGGCUUUGACGGGUAGCCGGCCUGAGAGGGUGACCGGCGACAUUGGGACUGAGAUACGGCCCAGAGUCCUACGGUAGGCAGCAGUGGGGAAUAUUGCACAAUGGGCGGGAGCCGGAUGCAGCAACGCCGCGUGCGGAAUGCCGGCCUUCGGGGUGUAAACCGCUUUCGCCUGUGACGAAGCGUGAGUGACGGUAAUGGGUAAAGAAGCACCGGCUAACUACGUG
rnacentral:rRNA from 1 species